ACGAACGCUGGCGGCGUGCCUAAUACAUGCAAGUUGAGCGAUGAAGAUUGGUGCUUGCACCCAUUUGACGAGCAGCGGACGGGUGAGUAACGCGUGGGGAAUCUGCCUUUGAGCGGGGGACAACAUUUGGAAACGAAUGCUAAUACCGCAUAACAACUUUAAACAUAAGUUUUAAGUUUGAAAGAUGCAAUUGCAUCACUCAAAGAUGAUCCCGCGUUGUAUUAGCUAGUUGGUGAGGUAAAGGCUCACCAAGGCGAUGAUACAUAGCCGACCUGAGAGGGUGAUCGGCCACAUUGGGACUGAGACACGGCCCAAACUCCUACGGGAGGCAGCAGUAGGGAAUCUUCGGCAAUGGACGAAAGUCUGACCGAGCAACGCCGCGUGAGUGAAGAAGGUUUUCGGAUCGUAAAACUCUGUUGGUAGAGAAGAACGUUGGUGAGAGUGGAAAGCUCAUCAAGUGACGGUAACUACCCAGAAAGGGACGGCUAACUACGUG
rnacentral:rRNA from 1 species